AUUGAACGCUGGCGGCAUGCCUUACACAUGCAAGUCGAACGGCAGCGGGGGAGAAGCUUGCUUUUCCUGCCGGCGAGUGGCGAACGGGUGAGUAAUACAUCGGAACGUGCCCUGUAGUGGGGGAUAACUAGUCGAAAGAUUAGCUAAUACCGCAUACGACCUGAGGGUGAAAGUGGGGGACCGCAAGGCCUCAUGCUAUAGGAGCGGCCGAUGUCUGAUUAGCUAGUUGGUGGGGUAAAGGCCUACCAAGGCGACGAUCAGUAGCUGGUCUGAGAGGACGAUCAGCCACAAGGGGACUGGGACACGGCCCAGACUCCUACGGGAGGCAGAGGUGGGGAAUUUUGGACAAUGGGGGAAAGCCUGAUCCAGCAAUGCCGCGUGUGUGAAGAAGGCCUUCGGGUUGUAAAGCACUUUUGUCCGGAAAGAAAUGGCUCUGGUUAAUACCUGGGGUCGAUGACGGUACCGGAAGAAUAAGGACCGGCUAACUACGUGCCAGCCGCCGCAGUAAAAC
rnacentral:rRNA from 1 species